GCCCUCUCAGCAUCUUCAAAUCUUUUCUCUGAUACCCCCUUUUCAGGGGUGCCUUCCCUGACCACAUUAUUUAAAAUUGCAAAUUUCUCCCUGAACUGUGCUCUCUCUGAAUCUUCCAUUUUACUUAUUUUGUAGCAUAUAUUGCAUCUGAGAGACACUGUUUCUCUUUUUCAUCUGUUCAUUUAGUAAUUGUCUCAUUCCCCUCCCUCACUAGAUGGUAAAACUCCAGGUAAAAGUCCAGAAGACUCAAGGUUUUAUGUGCUUUGGUCCCUACUGUGUUCUGAGUACCAGUAUCCAUGCCUGCCACUUAGAUCUGCUAGACUUUCUUGAUAUUUGAAAAUUGAGCCCAGAUGCUCAUCUGUGAUUCCAGAUGCCAUAUUCCCUGAAAAUCUCCAGAUUCUGAUUCCCAUUUCCAAUGUCAAGUUUACUUCAUUCAAAAUAACGGGGGAAGCCAGACUAAGCUUUGAACAAAUAAAAUUUAUCCUGGGAACAGAUCACUAUUCUCUCUGCUCACUGACAUCGGCACCCUCCACCAGAUGGCAUCUAACUCAGUUGAGCCAACACCUCUACGCUUGAAUUGCAGAAUAAGAUCUAGGAAGCUAACCUGAACCUGACCUACAACUUGGAGCUAAGUGCUGCUAAGCCCAGUCAACAUCAGCCAAACCCCAACCAACCCGUAGAUCAGUGA